rnacentral:tRNA from 1 species
GGGUGGUUAGCUCAGUUGGUUAGAGUACUUGCUUGACAUGCAAGGGGUCGAUGGUUCGAGUCCAUUACUACCCACCA